rnacentral:misc_RNA from 1 species
CGGUUCGAGUCCGCUUACCUCCACUGAUCAACUACCUGAUAACUCCAUUCUAUGGAGAUUGACUUUGUUAAAUGUGAUUUAGAUGUUGUUCAACUGAUUGAACCUAGCUUCCUAUCAUUCCUAAUUAAAAAAGCGAUUUGAUAAGACGCUGGGCUCACUGUAAUUGUAAAAAAUUACAGUUAAGUUCAGUA